AGUUACAUGUUUUCCUGAAACAGGUAACUGCUAAUCCUAUUUGUUUGUUUGUAGCCUUUAAUCUUCGUCUGCAUUUUAUGAAUCCACCUGUUUGGUUUGUGUUUCCAUAUUAAUAUUCUGUGACUAAUGCUUGUAAUUUUCUUUUUUAAUGUAAAAACAAAGUCAAGUAGGUGGAUUGUUGUAAAUUAUAUGUUCAGCUGGAUGGCUUUCUUUUGCAAGGAUCUGAUAGAGUACUUAUGAAUCCACCUGUUUGGUUUGUGUUUCCAUAUUAAUAUUCUGUGACUAAUGCUUGUAAUUUUCUUUUUUAAUGUAAAAACAAAGUCAAGUAGGUGGAUUGUUGUAAAUUAUAUGUUCUCAGCCGGAUGGCUUUCUUUUGCAAGGAUCUGAUAGAGUAUACUAUGGUAUAUUUAGAAACAAUCAUCCCACAAAGUGCCAAAAUUUUAACUAAACAAAUUUUCUGAUGUCUGAAGUAAAUGCAAGCACUUCAUGGGAUGCUCUAUGUUAGUGAUGGUGAGUGGCGACUUUCAAUUAUUUAUGUUUAUUAAAAUGUUUACUGCUGCUUGACGUGAAUUUCCAUUUGCCAAUUGGACUUGAUGAGAGGCAUAUUGCUAUAUCUGUAAAUUUAUUUCAUUAGGGGCUUUGUAUAUGUAAGUGACUUAUUUUCCUAGCAAUCAAUAAUAGUUUGGUCAUUUUCAUAGAGCUGACACAUGUUGUCCUAUAAAUUUUUUACCACAGCCUGAUUUUGUCUUACAAAGUUCCUACUGAACUCAAUUGCUGAUUAGAUCCAUAUACAUUGUUUUUUCAUUUUUAUCUAUCUUCUGAAGUUAUCUUUGUUCUUUUGUAUCCUUAAACUAUUAGCCUAUCUAAUUAUUAAUUUCUGGAUAGUUUCUAGACCAGUAUAUGAUUUUCUGUGAUUGUGACU
rnacentral:lncRNA from 1 species